CCUACGGGAGGCAGCAGUAGGGAAUAUUGGUCAAUGGGCGAGAGCCUGAACCAGCCAUGCCGCGUGCAGGAAGACGGCCUUCUGGGUCGUAAACUGCUUUUAUAUGGGAAGAAAAUGGUCUUGCGAGACAAAUUGCCGGUACCAUAUGAAUAAGCACCGGCUAACUCCGUGCCAGCAGCCGCGGUAAUACGGAGGGUGCAAGCGUUGUCCGGAUUUAUUGGGUUUAAAGGGUACGUAGGCGGCCAAUUAAGUCAGUGGUGAAAUCCUGCAGCUCAACUGUAGAGGGCCAUUGAUACUGAUUGGCUUGAGUACUGUUAAGGUAGGCGGAAUUGAUGGUGUAGCGGUGAAAUGCAUAGAUACCAUCAGGAACACCGAUUGCGAAGGCAGCUUACUGGGCAGUAACUGACGCUAAUGUACGAAAGCGUGGGGAGCGAACAGGAUUAGAUACCCUGGUAGUCCACGCUGUAAACUAUGAUCACUCGCUGUUGGCCGGUAUAGGUCAGUGGCCAAGCGAAAGCGUUAAGUGAUCCACCUGGGGAGUACGCUCGCAAGAGUGAAACUCAAAGGAAUUGACGG
rnacentral:rRNA from 1 species